CCUCUCCCAUUACUGCCGGCCAAGACAGCCCCUAGCAGCCCCCUCUCUUACAAAUUUCCAGCAAAGUGUUCUCUUGCAUUCAUCCAUCCAUACGAUGCUAAAGUGAAUGAAGAGUGAAUGUGAGGAGAAAGGCAACAAAAUAGAGAUUUAGAGAGGGAGAGAUUCACGGUUAAGGGCAGAAAGAGGGGGAGAAGAAUCAACCAAGGAAGAAAACAAGAAGAACACGUAUGGAGUUGUCAAAAAUCUUCCUUAUUCCUUGCUUAAUUCAUGUGAAUGUAGGAGAAGCAUAGAGAGUGGGACUCGACUUCUUACAUGCAAGUACAACAGGAGUUCAAGGCAGGAGUUUAGUUCAAGGUUGCUGGGAGAUUGACAAAAACAAAGGAGAAGGAAAUGUUUUUCGAACCAUGUUUCAGCUGGCAUCUGCUCUUCUUAUUCUUCCCCUUUGCUGCCAAAAUUGUCAGGAUUCUUAGGCUAAUUAGGAUUUUUUAAAAUGCUAAAUUCGUUCCUUUGUUAUCUGGUCUUUAAGGUUGGAUAAAUCCCUCAGAAGUUGCACUAAAAAACUGAUUCUGCUGUUGUCGCAAUUUUUUGUUCCAACUUAGGCUUUGAUUCUGAUUUGGUUUCAUGCAAUAUCCGACCAUCCCGGCUAUAUUCUGUCACUCAUGACAUGUUGAAGAAUUGACCUACACCUUUAUUGGGUCCUAGGGCUCGCUAUUCUUAUGGCAGACUCUCAGUCAAAGUAGGAUGCUUGGCAUUGUUAGUUUCCUGAAUUAAAUCAGGAGAUCCUUUUUGACCAACCAGGUUGCAGCCAGUUUCUGUACUUCAAAAUGAAUUUAUCUCAUUCUUAAUCCCUCAUGAAAGUUGUAGUCCUGUACGCGUAGAUGAAUUUUGGUUUUUGAAUCGCUUGAUUUCGAUAUCAGAAGCUCAAGAUAUUCUCAUUUGAAUAUCUAAACGUGAAAGUAGAGAAUUCUGCCGCGAGCAGGUUUUGACCCGAGUUUUGCACUAAAGACUCUGCUUCCAUCAUGAUUUUGCUGGUCGUUAUUCUUAGGUUAUACUCUCAGUCAUAUCGGGAUGCUCGGCGUUUGUCAGUUUUUGAAUCAAAUCAGAAGACCCUCUCUUACCAACCAGAUUGCUGCCAGAUUCUGUUCUUUAAAACGAUUUUAUCUCACCUCGAAUCCUUCAUGAAAGUUGUAGUCCUACAUGUGUAGAUGAAUUUGGGUUUUUGAGUCGCUUGAUUUUGAUAUCAGAAGCUCAAGAUAUUCACGUUUGAAUAUCUAAUGAGAAAGCAAAAAUUCUGCCGCAAGAAGGAUUUUGCCCCCCAAGUUUGCAGGACUGAAUUGAAAAAAAAGACUGAAAUAAAGGAGUAGAUUUAAGAUGAAAUUAGAAGAAAUUGGCCAUCCUGCUCUCGUGUGAAUUUCAUGUUUUCGCCUCGACCUGCUCUUGUAAGGGUAUGAAGAAACGGGGGGUUGAAUAGAAAAUAAAAAUAUGCCACCAUGAAUUACGUGGUUGUUGCUAAGGGUGAGCAAAAAAACCGAGAAACCGAUUAAACCGAGAAAAAAAUAACCGAAAAAAACCAAUUAAACCGAUUAAUGUUUUUCAAAAAAAGUUCGGUUCGGUUCGGUUUCGGUUUCAGAAACCUGAAACCGAAAAAACCCUAACCGAACCGAACCGGUUCAGUUAAAGGGGUACUAUAAAUUCAAAAAAAAAAAGCUCUCUAAUUUUCUUAACCCUAGCGCGUCCAGCCGUCCUGAGCAAACAAGCCGCUCCCUCAACCCUCACAAUUCACACUUUCACAGAUCUCAUCUCAUUCUCAAGUCUCUAACAAAAUCAAAUUAAUCCGUCUUCAUCUUCGUUCUCCUGACUUCAGCCACAUCCCUCUCCCACAUAGGCAUGAAAAACACCACGCCGGCACACCUAACCUCCAGAGUCCAGAUCUAGCAAACCAGUCACCUCCCUCUCUCACACUCGACCUUGAAUCUUGUCAUAACUCACACCAGGUUGUUGCACAGAAAGUGAAAGAAGUUGAGCUCACCCAUGGCCAGCAGGACUCGCUUCUUCUGAUAUACAUAUCUCAACGACUCACAAUCCAGUUUUCACUUUUUUUGAGCUCUUAAUAAGUUGUUUUUAUAACUUUUUUUAUUAUUAUUUGUAGUAGAGUGUACUUGUUUGAGGUUUUAUUCCGCUAAAUUUCAUGUGAUUUAGCCUUUUGGAAGCAUAUUUUGCGCUAGUUUUUUCUUCCAUUAAAU